rnacentral:rRNA from 1 species
GGGUCCCCACAGGUUUUUAUUCCGUCUAAAUUCGGAUUAAUGCUCCCGGUUAAUAUGAAUGGCAUCGUUUAUAUAAUAAAGAUUUAUCGGUAAAAGAUGGGCAUGCGUAUCAUUAGCUAGUUGGUGUGGUAACGGCAUACCAAGGCUACGAUGAUUAGGGGUCCUGAGAGGGAGAUCCCCCACACUGGUACUGAGACACGGACCAGACUCCUACGGGAGGCAGCAGUGAGGAAUAUUGGUCAAUGGAGGCAACUCUGAACCAGCCAUGCCGCGUGCAGGAUGACGGUCCUAUGGAUUGUAAACUGCUUUUGUACGGGAAGAAAUGUAAUUACGUGUAAUUAUUUGACGGUACCGUAAGAAUAAGGAUCGGCUAACUCCGUGCCAGCAGCCGCGGUAAUACGGAGGAUCCGAGCGUUAUCCGGAAUUAUUGGGUUUAAAGGGUUCGUAGGCGGUUGAGUAAGUCAGUGGUGAAAUCUUAUAGCUUAACUAUAAAAUUGCCGUUGAUACUGCUUGACUUGAAUAGUAUGGAAGUAAUUAGAAUAUGUAGUGUAGCGGUGAAAUGCUUAGAUAUUACAUGGAAUACCAAUUGCGAAGGCAGAUUACUACGUACUUAUUGACGCUGAUGAACGAAAGCGUGGGUAGCGAACAGGAUUAGAUACCCUGGUAGUCCACGCCGUAAACGAUGGAUACUAGCUGUUCGGUUUUCGGACUGAGUGGCUAAGCGAAAGUGAUAAGUAUCCCACCUGGGGAGUACGUUCGCAAGAAUGAAACUCAAAGGAAUUGACGGGGGCCCGCACAAGCGGUGGAGCAUGUGGUUUAAUUCGAUGAUACGCGAGGAACCUUACCAAGGCUUAAAUGUAGAUUGACAGGUUUAGAGAUAGACUUUUCUUCGGACAAUUUACAAGGUGCUGCAUGGUUGUCGUCACCUCGUGCCGUGAGGUGUCAGGUUAAGUCCUAUAACCAACGCCACCCCUAUUGUUAGUUGCCAGCGAGUCAAGCCGGGAACUCUAACAAAACUGCCGGUCCAACCCUGAAGAAAGGUGGGAAUGACUUCCAUUCAUCCCGGCCCUACCUCUUGGGCUACC